AGCCUUGUAGUAACUUACGUUAGGUUGCAAACCUAAAGAUGCUGAUAAUAUCGGCCGGGGCUU
rnacentral:tRNA from 1 species